UUGAACGCUGGCGGCAUGCUUUACACAUGCAAGUCGAACGGUAGACCCUUUCGGGGGUUGAGAGUGGCGAACGGGUGAGUAAUGCAUCGGAACAUACCCAGUCGUGGGGGAUAACGUAGCGAAAGUUACGCUAAUACCGCAUGAGUCCUGAGGGAGAAAGCGGGGGACCUUCGGGCCUCGCGCGAUUGGAGCGGCUGAUGUCGGAUUAGCUGGUUGGUGGGGUAAAGGCCUACCAAGGCGACGAUCCGUAGCUGGUCUGAGAGGAUGAUCAGCCACACUGGGACUGAGACACGGCCCAGACUCCUACGGGAGGCAGCAGUGGGGAAUUUUGGACAAUGGGCGCAAGCCUGAUCCAGCCAUGCCGCGUGAGUGAAGAAGGCCUUCGGGUUGUAAAGCUCUUUCAGACGGAAAGAAAUCGGGCGGGUGAAUAGCCUGCCUGGAUGACGGUACUGUCAGAAGAAGCACCGGCUAACUACGU
rnacentral:rRNA from 1 species